UACUGGUAGAUCCAGGUCUACUUAUUGGACACCACUGCUUUAGCCGUUGAAUGACAGCUGGUGCCGAACAAGAGACGGAGGUUGAUUAACAGAGAGCACCUGUGGAACAAAUGACGCAGAAAGAGAAAGAAAUACAUGGCCAUAUCUCAGGCUCUUUGUUUUCAAAUACAAAGGAGGCAAUAACUUUAACAUGCAGUGCAAAAUGUGCCUGUCCCUGGCUGUCGAAACUUCCAGAACAAACCCGCGAAAGCGUGUGGCGAGUACAGUACAACUGCAUAUGUAAACACACACCAAGGGAACUCCGAGCUGCUCUCAUGUUCUGGCAGAUGUGUAUCACGGUUGGACCCCGCCCCUCCUCCCACCUUUGAACCAGAGGUUGUUAAUGAAUCUUGUUGAAAGCACCGGUAUCAGCUGUCAGCUUACUGCCCUUACAUCUCAGCGGCAUCACGUAUUUCUCCUGGAUGGUGGCGUAGAGCUGCAGCGUCAGCUGAGGGGUGGAGCCCAAGAAAGCCUGGAUGACUGCGGUG